UACGAAGGGUGCAAGCGUUAAUCGGAAUUACUGGGCGUAAAGCGUGCGUAGGCGGUGAGUUAAGUCUGUCGUGAAAUCCCCGGGCUCAACCUGGGAAUGGCGAUGGAUACUGGCUCGCUAGAGUGUGAUAGAGGAUGGUGGAAUUCCCGGUGUAGCGGUGAAAUGCGUAGAGAUCGGGAGGAACAUCAGUGGCGAAGGCGGCCAUCUGGAUCAACACUGACACUGAGGCACGAAAGCGUGGGGAGCAAACAGG
rnacentral:rRNA from 1 species